UACGUAGGGUGCAAGCGUUGUCCGGAAUUAUUGGGCGUAAAGAGCUUGUAGGCGGUUUGUCGCGUCUGCUGUGAAAUUUCGGGGCUCAACCCCGAACUUGCAGUGGGUACGGGCAGACUAGAGUGUGGUAGGGGAGACUGGAAUUCCUGGUGUAGCGGUGAAAUGCGUUGAUAUCGAUAGGAACUCCGGUGGCGAAGGCGGCAUACUGGACCACAUCUGACGCUGAGGCGCGAAAGCCAGGGGAGCAAACAGG
rnacentral:rRNA from 1 species